rnacentral:lncRNA from 1 species
UUAGAUCAACUUUAAAACAUCUCCGGAUGUCAAGUGAUUCAAGGAGUAGACAACCAUCAAGAAUGGCUUGCAGGCCCUCAUUUGUCAUAUUAUUUCCCAAAAGUUGAAGGUGGUGCAAACCCGGCAUGCUUUUUGCAAUUGCUAGUGCAUCAUCAUUACAAGGGAGUUGUGAAUGUUUGUACGAUGACUCACUAAGUGUAAAUGACCUCAACUUAGGGCAGGAACGACCAAUAGCUUCAAUACCGUCGUUACAACUCAUUACAAAUACCAAGUGCAGUUCUUCCAACAAGGGAAAUCUUUUAGCUGCUUCACUCAAACCGUCACCUGAUACUCCAUAGCAACCCCCAAGUCGAAGACACCUAAGCUGACUUGACCUGUUGAACAGGUGAAAUUUAGAUUGCAAAAGUUAUAUGACUUGGAAAAGGGAAUUAUGUUUAUUUUUCCAUGCAUAUAAUUAGACAUAAUCCUCUAUAAGGGUUCAGCAACUUUAUUGGUCAAGCCACGGGGUUAUAUCAGGCAUCUUCACGCAAACAUGACCAUAACUAAAGCAUCAAGGAAAAAAAUACAAACAAAAUGCUGAUUGUUCAAACAAUCUUUACAGUAUUCAAGUAACUAUUAAAAUGCACUCAUAUUCUUUAUCAAAUAUGGAAAUUAUACAGUUCAAAUCAAGAUGUCUGAACAUCAAAAAUGAUCUCAUAACAUAUGAAACAUGUCAACAGGAAAUGUAAGCCAACAUUUGCAACAUUGUGUUCACAAAAUUUCCAAGUGAGCAAAUAUUAAACUAAGAAUGCUCAGCAGAACUACAAGAGCACCUUUUCUUUCAUAUCCUUAAAAAUCCUAAAAUAUGCAUAACUAUGAAAUAGGAGGAAGCACCUCAAGAAUCAUACAAUGUACAUUCAGGAUCAAAACUGAGCAAAAUCAACCAAGAUGAAUAUUUUGGACAUACUGCAGGAUUAAUUCUUAAUCAAUCAAACAGUUAAUUUGCCAAAUAGUUCUUGUUCUGUUAAAUUCAUUCAAAACAAAAAUUACAAAAUAAAUCUUACUAAUAAUAAUAUAUUGUAUUUUUUUAGAUGCUACUCUUCUUCAAUCAUUAAAAUUUCCCAACCCAAAAUAAUUCCAAUUACACCGAGCCAAAAUCAACAUGAUAUGUCACUCUGUGUCUUUGGCCAAUAAAACAGUAUUUCAUAUAACUAUAAAUAGUUCCUACAUAAAUCUUUUCAGAACUUCUUCUAAAAUCAAUCAAUUAGCAGUUCACAAAUCGAAGCAAUACUCACUACAUGUUUAUUUAAUAUAAUGAGCAGAUGAUGUUUAUGCAAAGGCACACGCCUUCCAUCUAUCAGGAAUGUGCUCUCCAUGCAAGGUUUUUGUCUGAUUAUUCUUUAAAAUUUUGUAUAAUUAAUAGCUAGGGAAGCUUAAUCUUACAGGAAUACUGUCAUAAUCCUAAUUAUACAAAACAACAAACACUUGUUACUAUAAAUAAUUGAGAAUUAUGGCCAAUAAUUGCUCCUCUUGAUUUAAAAAUUUAUCCCAUAACUUUUUUUUCACAGGAUUAACAUUUCUUGGCAGCUACAUCAAGUGAUGCUUCUCUUUCAAAGACAAAAUUCCCUAAAAUUUCCAUAGCUGCAUAUUGCAUUGGCUAGUCUCAUAUAUGGACCAUUAAGUGCUAGAAAACUAGUUGCCAACUAGCCAUUGUAAAAUGUUACUCAAAUGUCACGAGAUUUAAAGAAAAACUUCAUUACGAAUCACCACCGUACAGUCAUUUUUCUUUUCUUUACUUUACUUUUCAUUUUUAUCAAUUGGUAUUUUGGUAUGCUAUUAAUUAGUACAUAUUAUCAAUCAAAUGUGCUUUUAUGUGCUUCUUGACAGAGUUUGAAUAUCAGAUCAAACUUUGGAAAUGAAGGAUUGGACUGAAAUAAUUAGACCUCAUUUGCAAUAAACUAAGAUGACAAACUAUCCUUCCACUUCAAUUGUGCAUGCUCCCAUGAUUUAUAAAGGAGUGACUGAGGUGUGCCUCAACCGAGGCACACGAAAAUACUACUGGGGCACAAAUUUUAUUAGGCACAGAGAGACUUGUGCCUUUAGUGGCUGAGGCAUAAACCUCGAGGUGCAAUCCUGAGUGCGAGAGAGAGAGAGAGAGAGAGGUGCUCAUGCGCAUCUCCUUAAUUAUCCAGGGGACCACUUUUUCUUUAAACGUUUCAUAUUUCCAUGGUUGAAUUAAUUGGAAAUCUACUAUAUAUUAAAAUAGUUUGGGAAAUCUAUUAUAUUUUAAUAAAACUUACCUAAGUCAUUGAUUAUUAGCCAUAAAUUAUAGCUGGAAAUCCAUCAAACACCAAAACCUAAGCUAUGGAUGGAAAUUCACUAUAAUUCGAACACAAAACACAACACUGCAAUCCUAGAACUUCAUCACUCCCACUAAGAAGAGGCAGCAGGUUAGUCAAUUUUUUUCCUUUUUAAAAAAAAAAUGCAACUAUCACAAAUCGGUCUAUAAAUAACAAACAAAUUUCUAUAACUCAGACCAGUGAUAAUGACUAGUUGCAAGUUAAUAAUGCAGUUUUAAUAGAAAGUGCACGCUAAGGGCGUGAUUAUUAAUUAGUAUUAGACAGAACUAGAAAAGAACCUAAGAUUUUGUAGAUUAUACCAGCAGGUUCUAUCUAAUACUGCAUAGCAAACAUAUCAAAAAUGUUACCUCACCGUAAAUCAGUUCCAAGCUCAGUCUCAGAAGAAAUAUGGAUCAAAGCCAUAACCAUCAGAAUUGGAGUCAUGAAAGUAAUUAUCACCAUCAGAAUUGUAGACGUUAAAGUAAUCAUCAUAAUCAUAAUAUUCCCAGUCUGAAAACUCAGAUGAGUAGUAGUAGUUUUCCUCAGAUUUUACACAGUCAAAAAUAUCAGUAUUCCACUCGCAAUCUUCCAUGGAAUCGUAAGGAUGCUUGGAAUCUUUGAUCUUUUGAGUAAUUCUUUUCCCCAGAUCCCCACUUAGAUCAACUUUAAAACAUCUCCGGAUGUCAAGUGAUUCAAGGAGUAGACAACCAUCAAGAAUGGCUUGCAGGCCCUCAUUUGUCAUAUUAUUUCCCAAAAGUUGAAGGUGGUGCAAACCCGGCAUGCUUUUUGCAAUUGCUAGUGCAUCAUCAUUACAAGGGAGUUGUGAAUGUUUGUACGAUGACUCACUAAGUGUAAAUGACCUCAACUUAGGGCAGGAACGACCAAUAGCUUCAAUACCGUCGUUACAACUCAUUACAAAUACCAAGUGCAGUUCUUCCAACAAGGGAAAUCUUUUAGCUGCUUCACUCAAACCGUCACCUGAUACUCCAUAGCAACCCCCAAGUCGAAGACACCUAAGCUGACUUGACCUGUUGAACAGGUGAAAUUUAGAUUGCAAAAGUUAUAUGACUUGGAAAAGGGAAUUAUGUUUAUUUUUCCAUGCAUAUAAUUAGACAUAAUCCUCUAUAAGGGUUCAGCAACUUUAUUGGUCAAGCCACGGGGUUAUAUCAGGCAUCUUCACGCAAACAUGACCAUAACUAAAGCAUCAAGGAAAAAAAUACAAACGAAAUGCUGAUCGUUCAAACAAUCUUUACAAUAUUCAAGUAACUAUUAAAAUGCACUCAUAUUCUUUAUCAAAUAUGGAAAUUAUACAGUUCAAAUCAAGAUGUCUGAACAUCAAAAAUGAUCUCAUAACAUAUGAAACAUGUCAACAGGAAAUGUAAGCCAACAUUUGCAACAUUGUGUUCACAAAAUUUCCAAGUGAGCAAAUAUUAAACUAAGAAUGCUCAGCAGAACUACAAGAGCACCUUUUCUUUCAUAUCCUUAAAAAUCCUAAAAUAUGCAUAACUAUGAAAUAGGAGGAAGCACCUCAAGAAUCAUACAAUGUACAUUCAGGAUCAAAACUGAGCAAAAUCAACCAAGAUGAAUAUUUUGGACAUACUGCAGGAUUAAUUCUUAAUCAAUCAAACAGUUAAUUUGCCAAAUAGUUCUUGUUCUGUUAAAUUCAUUCAAAACAAAAAUUACAAAAUAAAUCUUACUAAUAAUAAUAUAUUGUAUUUUUUUAGAUGCUACUCUUCUUCAAUCAUUAAAAUUUCCCAACCCAAAAUAAUUCCAAUUACACCGAGCCAAAAUCAACAUGAUAUGUCACUCUGUGUCUUUGGCCAAUAAAACAGUAUUUCAUAUAACUAUAAAUAGUUCCUACAUAAAUCUUUUCAGAACUUCUUCUAAAAUCAAUCAAUUAGCAGUUCACAAAUCGAAGCAAUACUCACUACAUGUUUAUUUAAUAUAAUGAGCAGAUGAUGUUUAUGCAAAGGCACACGCCUUCCAUCUAUCAGGAAUGUGCUCUCCAUGCAAGGUUUUUGUCUGAUUAUUCUUUAAAAUUUUGUAUAAUUAAUAGCUAGGGAAGCUUAAUCUUACAGGAAUACUGUCAUAAUCCUAAUUAUACAAAACAACAAACACUUGUUACUAUAAAUAAUUGAGAAUUAUGGCCAAUAAUUGCUCCUCUUGAUUUAAAAAUUUAUCCCAUAACUUUUUUUUCACAGGAUUAACAUUUCUUGGCAGCUACAUCAAGUGAUGCUUCUCUUUCAAAGACAAAAUUCCCUAAAAUUUCCAUAGCUGCAUAUUGCAUUGGCUAGUCUCAUAUAUGGACCAUUAAGUGCUAGAAAACUAGUUGCCAACUAGCCAUUGUAAAAUGUUACUCAAAUGUCACGAGAUUUAAAGAAAAACUUCAUUACGAAUCACCACCGUACAGUCAUUUUUCUUUUCUUUACUUUACUUUUCAUUUUUAUCAAUUGGUAUUUUGGUAUGCUAUUAAUUAGUACAUAUUAUCAAUCAAAUGUGCUUUUAUGUGCUUCUUGACAGAGUUUGAAUAUCAGAUCAAACUUUGGAAAUGAAGGAUUGGACUGAAAUAAUUAGACCUCAUUUGCAAUAAACUAAGAUGACAAACUAUCCUUCCACUUCAAUUGUGCAUGCUCCCAUGAUUUAUAAAGGAGUGACUGAGGUGUGCCUCAACCGAGGCACACGAAAAUACUACUGGGGCACAAAUUUUAUUAGGCACAGAGAGACUUGUGCCUUUAGUGGCUGAGGCAUAAACCUCGAGGUGCAAUCCUGAGUGCGAGAGAGAGAGAGAGAGAGAGGUGCUCAUGCGCAUCUCCUUAAUUAUCCAGGGGACCACUUUUUCUUUAAACGUUUCAUAUUUCCAUGGUUGAAUUAAUUGGAAAUCUACUAUAUAUUAAAAUAGUUUGGGAAAUCUAUUAUAUUUUAAUAAAACUUACCUAAGUCAUUGAUUAUUAGCCAUAAAUUAUAGCUGGAAAUCCAUCAAACACCAAAACCUAAGCUAUGGAUGGAAAUUCACUAUAAUUCGAACACAAAACACAACACUGCAAUCCUAGAACUUCAUCACUCCCACUAAGAAGAGGCAGCAGGUUAGUCAAUUUUUUUCCUUUUUAUUUUUGUCAAAUAUUCUCAUAUUCUUUUUUUUUUUUUAGGUCAUUUCUUUUUCUUGCUGGUUAGCUAUUCUAUAUUUUCAUAUUUUUGAACUAUUCACCAGGUUCAGGGUGAGGUUUACACCUCACCUCACCUCACGAACUUAAAAUACCUGAUUUCGCCUUUUUACUGCACACUACAUGUUCUGAUAUUUAGAAAAGAGUACUACUCACUGACUUGACAGUGGAACAAAAUCAUGAAAGUUUUUCUCAUGGAGACAUUGAGGUCCAAAGGCUUUGCCUCUAAAACUGUACUUUCCAUGCUUCUUCAGUUUAACCAUGUUACUUGUCAGAUUGCAAAUAAUCACAUCUGGGAAAAAUAAGCUCUUUAGAAUACCGCUAUCUACGCCUUAUCCAUGCCACCACCUUUGGAUGAGAACGUUCAAGCAUUCAACCAUAUAGUUCCUGAUUACAUCUAUGCCUUUACUUUAGUAACGUAUCUUUUUAUUCUUGAAGUAAAAAGAGAACAAAAUAUCCCCUUUUGAAUAGCCUACUCUUUUCUUCGAUUUCACGAUCAGGCAAGAUUUAAAAAAAAAAAAAAGAAGAGUCUAAUAUAAGACUGGUCAACAGCCCAACACUAGUUGAAUAAAUUUCAAAGGUAAUCACGAAAAGAUAUAGAUGGGCUAGGAGCAGAAGAACAUAAAAAGGCAGAGAAAAAGUAUUCCCAUGCAAACAUACACAAUCGAUGGAUCCCCUGUUUACCUACAUUUAGUCUCAUCACAAAAAUAACAGGAAACAAAAAAAAAAAAGGAUCCAGUUUUUCUUUAUUUCAUGCAGUAUCUUAUAAGUUAUACCUUAACAUAGAAAAGAAAUUCAGAAAGCACAAGGACAGUAUACAAACACCAAUAAAUCAUAAAUGUAUUUCACUAUAUUCAAGAAUGUCCUCAACUAUAAUUUUGAUGAAUUUUAAAAGAUUAUAAAUCUUAACGAAUUUCGUGAAUUUGAAUAGAUUUCCACAAAUUCCAUAAGAAUCUUGUGAAAUUUCAAAAGCUUUGAUUAUACGUAUUUUUAAACUUGAAAUCUAUCCAAAUCUUUUGAAAUCCCUAUAUUAAUGAAAUCUUUAUAAAUCCACUAGUUAUUGAGGAUAGUUAAAUUUUAAAGGAUUUCAUUAAAUUUCAGUAAAAAUCUAGACACCUAAAUUUUAAUAGGUUUCAUUAAAAUCCAUUAAAAUCUAAUUGAGGAUACCUAAAUUUAAAAUGAUUUUUAAAAUUCGUCACAAUCUCAAUUGAACACCUCCCUUAAUAUCAGUAAGCACAAAAAUCAGAAACUUUCACAAGCUUUGCAUUAUAGAAGUCGAUCAUGAGACUGCAAUGAGAACAAAUAAACUUCAAAAUGUGCUUAUUUUUACCACUAAAAGAACCAACAAAAAUACGUACGAUGGUUUGUACGUUAUGCGUUGAGUAUUUUGCAUAAAGAUUGUAACUGAUGCAUCAUAUUUAGAAGCAUUUAGCAUUUUUUUUCCUUUCGAAAACAUAUAAAAUUCGAAAUGAACCUAUACCGUUCGGAGAUGUACUGUAGCAAUUCAUCGGUGGCGAAAUAGUCAAUAUAGAUGUCAGUCAAUUGGCCCUCGCUGCGAUCCACUGCUUGACGGCACGUGGUUUCCAGGUACACCGACAUGUCAUGAUAUUUACCCAGGUUUUUCAUGUCAAUUACACGCCAAAUGGAAGGGUCCUUGCAAACAUUUCGCCAAGUAGUACAGACUUCCUGUGCACUCUUCAGCAUAUCGUGUGCCCCCAGCCGGUGCAGGAUAUUCGCAGUCACCUCUGGAGGCAGUUCUAACCACGGAGGCGGGGGCGGAGGCGUUGGCCGGGCGGAUGAUGCCGCCUCCGCCUUUGCCUUUGCCUUUGCCUUUGCCUUCUUCUUUUUGUUUUUUAGCCUCUUGAGCUUUUUCCCCAUUGUAAAUUUGGGGAUGAGAUGAAAUGUAAAUCCGUGGAGUAGUAUGCAUAAUGGACGAAGUCUUAACUUUCAUCAUUAGAGAAAUAGAUCGGUCAAUUAAGCCUGUAUUUGACUAUCAUUAAUUGAUUUUUUUUUUUACGUACUCAUUUUCAAUUAUAGAUUCAUAUAAUAUAAAAUUUUAUAAAUAAAUCUAAAAUAUUUUCGUAUUUUUUAACCAAAAAUUUUCUUAAAAAUCACUGUUCUAACAUUAUCUUGACCAAAUAAUAACCAUCAAACAAGGGUUAAAACUCCUUGAAAAUGGCGACAUUUCUUAAGAUAAUACCCCAUAUAUUGACUUGUUAUUAAUUAAAUAAAAUAAUAUUAAGUUCCAAUUUGGUUGUGAGUAAAAUUAAAUUUUUAAUGAAUUUUGAUAAAAGUUAAUGAAAUUACCUUACUAAAAAGUUGUGAGAACCAUAAAAUUUGUUUGUUGAUUUUAACUUAAAUUAAAAUUAACGUUUUAAUAUGUACCAAACCAAAGCUAAAUUUACUUACUAUAAAGGACCGUUGUUACUUCAUUUAAUUUGCUUAAUGAAUCAUUAAUUAAUAUAAGCUCACAAAUUCAAUUUUGAUCGUUAUGGACUAGUACCUAGAUCGAGUAUUAAGCAAGAUGACCUAAUUUUAAUAGCCGACCAUGAUAGAAAUAGAUAGGCACAAUAAAACUCCUUCUUUAGCGAUAAACAUAUGAACUAAUGAUUGAACCAAAAGAUUUCAUUGUUCACACGUAGAUUCAACAUUCAUAACAACGCAAGUUAUAAAAUCAUAGAUGUAUAAUAAAUUAUAUCCCUGUAUGGUAGAGAUUAAAAUCAAAUUUUUAGUAGAUUUCAAUAAAAUUUGAUAAAAUAAAUGAUUGAAAAGUUAUGCAUCCGGUGAAAUAUAUAUUUUAAAUUAUUUGUUCAAUUUGACUUAGAUUUUAAUCAAUUUUAUUUUAUCCACUCCAAUUGGAGACUAUAUAUUUUACUCUUAAUUUCAUUAUAUUAUAUAAUAUUAUAAUUAAAUUUAAUUGGCAAGUCAAUCGUCUAAGACUUGUAAGGUACUGUUAUGCGUUUUACAUAACAUAAUUCUAUCGUAAGUGUACGAUGUCAAGUUGUGUAAUAUAAUAAUGAAGUUAGGAUGUCAAACUCACAGGGAUUGAUGUCUAAUUUUUACUAGGUUUGUAUAGCUCUUAUUUUAUCUAGAUGAAUGAAAUUUGGAAUCAAUAGUUUUAACUAAGUUAGCGUGAUGAAUGUGAUGAAGAAUUCAACAAAUAAAUGCAAGUUAGAAAAAUAAUCAAGAUGAGAAAGUUUUUUGUUAUGAUUUCACCUAACUAUCAAAUAUGAUUCUUAAUUAUUUAUAAUCAAUGUUCCUAAAUUUAUUAGGAAGAACCCUAAUUCAAUUCAAUUCUACUCUAUCUCUCUCAAGUACUGAGUAAAAAUUAUUUUUAUAUUCCAAUUUUAAUAUCUCUAUUUUGAAUUAAAAUCUAGAAAUUAUCAAGUUUUUGGUUUUUAUGUGGAAAAUGCUUCAAAGGAAUUAACAUUUUCUCUCGAAAGAUAUAAUUUCCUAGGUUGUACUAUUCUAUGAUCGUGCCUAAAUUUAACUCUCUCGAGUACCAAAAUCGAUAAACAUCUAAUCAUUCAAUUAGUGGUCAAUUACUCAAUUAAUUGAAAGCGUUAAGAAUAAAUAACAGAAAUAAACAUGAUUGGAAAAUCUCAAAGAAAUAACUAUAAUAAAAUCAAAACAUAAUCUCAAGUUGAUUAUAUCAAAUCCUAGAUUAGGUGUUUAGUACCAUAUUCUACAAAAUUCUAGAGAUUCGAUAUUACCAACAAUUAUAUUUCUAGACAUAUUCAGAGUAUGAUGAUUUCAUAUCAUCAUUUACGUAGAUAUUCGUAAAGACGCUUUCUUUGUUAAUGUCUCUCACAUAAAUAUCAUCAAGUGUUUGGUUCCAUCUUAAUACUUGAGAUCUUAACAUAUAAGAUAGUUGUGUAACUAUCAUGAAUCUCAUAUUCUCAACUAGUAUCAUUAGAUGUUCAAUACAUCUAUACUAAACAAUUUCUUCAUCUGCCAAAAUAUACAUUAUAAUAUAUGAUUCUUACUACUCUAUGUAGCAAAAGUGCACAAAUCUAAUAAUAAUUGUGCUCGGCUUACUCUCAUUCUAAGUCAACAAUUGUAUAUCUAUUCCAAUCACAAGUUAUUCCUUUGACAACGAAAUAGAAUAACUGACAGCAACACCCUUCAGGUAUCACAAUACAUUUUCUAAAGAUAAUAUUGAUACCUACUAACUAGAUCGAUGGCAUGACCAAUAUUAUGGCAAAUAUACAUUAUAGGAUACUUCUAUCUCCUAACUCUUAAUCGUACUAGAUAUAGUUUUCUAGAAAUUUUGUUGUAUAUUUAUAGAGUCUUUGGACAUUUAUGAAGACUUAUAUAAUCACCUUCUGAUACAGGAGUUUCAACAAGUUAGCAAUUCCACAUGAGUUUUUAUAGUAUAAAACUCUUGUAAUAAAGCAAGAAGAUUCGAAUAAUCUUUUUAACACAAAUCAUACAAUUUGCUAAACCCACGUCAUUUAUUUCAAAGAUUGAGGACAACCAUAUCAAAAUGGUCUCUAUGCACUCAUUUUUAUGCUUAACCAAUCCAAUCCAAUGUAAUCAAAAUCAAAAUUAGAAUUACAACCAACCAUCAAACCUUUACGUAAAUACAAUAAUUUCCUUUCAUAUGACGAAAAUUUUUGUACGAGAUUUAACCAUGUUAAAAACUUAAGUACGACUAUCAUAAUGACUGUAUUAGACCAUGAGUGUAACUGUAAAAUUACCACAAUACUAAAAAGGUCUUAACAUGAAAUCUACAAGACAAUUCAUGUUGAUCUCUUCAAUCAUUUAUUAAUUGAGAAUAAAAAUACGGUCUCUAGGUCUAUUUGGUGUAACUGUAAAUUUAAGCACACUAUCAUGGCUAGCAUCGAUGUACAGAAGUGAUUUCCAUUGUUAUGAAAAAAAUUAUCUAACUCAAUACACUCAUAUUGAGCAUAACCUUUAAAAAUAAAUAAAUAAAUAAAUUUAGCUUUAUCUACCAGAAACUCAUUAAUCUUUCACAUAGUUUUCAAGAACCCGAAUGUUCUCAAUAAACAUAAUGUUCAAAUAGAACUUAGGUUAAAAUUCUAUACUCCGUAUAUAUACUUUCAUCACUUCCUUCAAAAUUCUUCACUGGUUUUCUAAACCAGAAAUCAUUGACAUUAAAUAACUCUUAAUUUCCACUUGGAACCAAAAAUCAUUGAUAUUAAAUAGUUCUUAGCUCCCACUCGAAACCAAGAGUCAUUGAAAUUAGAUAGUUCUUAGAUAGCUCCCACUUGGAUAGAUAGGUCCAACUCGAAAAUAGAUUACUCACACUUGAAUCAGAAGUUUGAAUCAACUCUUAUAUAUUCAAAACUGAUUCAUUAAUACAUUUAAUAUCAAUUUCAACGAUGUUCUCCAAUCUUUUCUCCCUUACUGGGAAAAAUGUCAAAUGUCACAUCUUGUGACUCAAUAUUUAUAAAAAAUUUCACUUAAAUACUUUUUUUGGAUUGCAUGUAUGUCAUCAAGAUACAUCUCAUUCUUAAUAGACUCGUGUUCCCAAACUCAUUAUCGAGAACAUGUAUAAUCCAUUAUGAGUAUAUGAUCACCCAUAUUUGUUAUCUACAUGUCCAAAAGUUAUAUAUUCUGAAGGUACCAACAUUGAGAAAACUCCUUUAACUGAUAAGUUGUAGCUUGCCAAUGUUUUUUUCAAAAGCAAAUACAUAAGUUGGACGCAUAUCUCAAACCUCAUCAUAUUCAGUAAUAUUCCAUUCCUUCUAUCAAAUACACUAUAUAAUUUAUUAGUGAUAGAGAUUCAUGCCAUCAGAUAAUUCUCAAAGUCUUCACUUCCACAAUCUGAUUUUCUACUUGACUUCAAAAAAGUCUAAACUAAUACAAUAUCUUCAACUUAAGAAAAUCAGAGGCGUGAAUCCAUCUAUAAAUGUAAUGAAAAGAAAAGUUUCAUCUCUAUCUCGCUUAAUCACAGCUCGCAAAAAAAUUUGAAUGGAUUUAUUCUAUUGAAGUUUAGCUCUAACAGUUUUGAAUGGUUUUCUCAACUCAAAACCUCAAUCCAUUGCACAAAUAUCCGGAACCAAAAUAAACAUCACCAUUGUGAGCACGAACAGAUCUACCACAUAUAAGUUCAAGUAAGAGACCACUCUUCGAAGAAUAAUAACUGAGAUCAAAUUUAGUGGAGUUUUUGAUACUAUCUUAUAAGAGGUUAGUUUCUCUACUUUGCAACACUAAGUUGCAGUACCAGUCAUAUAAACCUCCACUCCAUCUUCAUUAUUUGUACAUAUCUAUUUUGUAUCAAGUUAAAGACUCGAAACCACUUUUGAGCUAAGAGAUUAAAUCAUAUAGUUGAAGCACUAGAACCUUUAUAACAUUGAUCCUCUACCAAAACAACUUUCAUUCACUUAUUAUCUGAUAUGUUCUUCUUGGUCUCUUUUUUUCAGUCGCCUCAUGUACAUUUGUUCUAGCUCAUUUUAUGCUUAAAAUUCAAAAUCUUAUUCAAGCUAGAACAUUGCUACACAGGCAUAUCCUCGAGACUUAGCAACAUCAAGUCGUACGUCUUCUAUCUCACACAACGAGCAGUGUCAAUAUAGAAAAUCGAUACUUCAAUUUGUAAGUCACAAUGAUCUUUAAAGUUCUCAUAUAUUGAGAAGAUGCUAGUUUGAAUUUACUAUUCGUCUAAAAAUAAUGUGACCAACAAAAAUAUUAACACUGUGUUAAUUAUCAACUAAGUCACAUUGGAGAAAAAGAUCAUUUAUAACAGAACUUAACAAUUCAAAUGUUCAAGCAUUAGAAUCUAUCUUUUUUUCCUACUUAACAAAGUUUCUGAUCUUUAUUCUCUAGAGUAGUAUAACCUACAUAAGGUCUUUCAUUGCGUGGCUGAUGCUCUCUAAAGCAUCAUAUCCUUCUACUACACUUAAAAUUUUAUCAUGCCAAAUGUUAUCGCAUCUAGCUUAUCAUCUUUAUUAAGGUCAACCAUAGAUUUUGAUGCCAUGAUCUAUCAAAUUUUUCGAGACAUUUUAUUCUCAACCAAUGCCCAUUUAUGCACAUAUUUAAUUUUUGCAUUAACUCAAAUUAACGUCUAUGCCAAUCCGCGGCGCUUAGUCAAUGAAAAAAAAUUCGUUGAUUCAUCCCUUUAAUCAAUUCUAAUGUUCUAAGUUAAUUUGUAUGGUCAGAUUUUACAACAUCAACUUUUAAAAUUGUGUUCUGGACCUAAACAGAUCUGACCAAGAUUUAAAAAAUGGGAAAAAAAAAGUAUUGUUCAUGUUUAAAAAAAAAAACAAAAUUUUUAGAUUUUAUCAAUACUUCGGGAGGCCAAAAUUUAUGUUCUUUAUAUCAUUGGAAAGUUCUCGAGAAAAUCUAUUCAAUCAUAGCAAACGAGCAUCACAAAACAUAAUGUGGAAAAUAUUAUCGUGUGAUGAAGUUUCAAAUUUUACCAUUUUUCACGCUAAAAAUUAGAUUCAUAUCUAAACUUUGGAAGGCUAUAACUUCUUCAGUCCAAGGCCAAAAUUUAUGUUCUUUAUAUUGUUGGAAAGGUCUCGAGAAGAUUUAUCCAACGAGACUAAAUGGGCAUCAUGAAGUACGAUCCGAAGAAGUUAUCAUCUCAUGAAGUUUCUGAUUUUACAAAGUUUCACUCAAAAAAUCAGAUUUACAUCUAAAUUUCGGGAGGCCAUAACUUUCUCAUUUCAAGCCCAAAAUUAAUGAUCUUUAUAUCAUUGGAAAGGUCUUGAGAAGAUCUAUGCAACCAUACCAAAUAGACAGUAUGAAACCUAAAGUAUAAAAAAUUAUCAUGUGAUGAAGUGCAGGAUUUUAUCAUGUUUCAUGCCAAAAAUUCAUAUUAUUUUUCAAAUUUCAAAACCUCAUAAUUUCUUCAUUUUAAGUCCAAAGUUUAAGUUCUUUAUAUGAUUGGAAAGCUUAUGAGAAGACCUUUCUAACCAUACUAAUCUUACUGCAUGAAGAUGAACAAAUAGAUGACAGUAAAUUAUCAAAUGAUGCUACUAAGUACCACAUAAGGUUUCAAAACUUUGCAUACAAGAUUCAUAACCAAAAUUGUAUCAUGUAAUGGCAUAUUUAAGCAUGAAUUAUAGCAAGGAAUUCAACCUUAAGGCUCUGAUACCAAUGUAGGAAAUCGCAACAUACUUUGACGUGAAUUUCGGGUCAAAAUACUUACUUGAAUGAUGAAUUUCAAGAUCUUUGUGUUGUUAAAUCAUCUUACUAUCCAAGCAUUAAAAUCUACAUUUUCUAGUACUCCAAUAGUCCCAAUCCUGAUCACAAUGAAAGUGGAUUAUUAUCCACAAUUUAAAUGCCAAUUUUUGUGAGAUUUCAUGCUAAAAAUAUGGUUUUAUGGACUUUCCAAUUUUGAUGUGAAUUUUCAUACGAAAAUUCACUUUUUUUUUUUUUUCAUGCCACCACCUUUUUUUUUUUCCAUAACUUCUAUAUAGAGGUUGUAAGGCAUUGUAGAUUUGAAUUCCAAAUUCAAACCACUCCCUCAAAUCCUUUUAAAAUCUUGCGGGUUGGGUCGACCCAUUACCCGUAUUUUCCAAUAGCCACCAACAUGAGAAGCAUCAUUGAACAAAAGUCAACCAUGCAACUCCCCCCCAACAGGUGCAACAGGCACAAAUAGCCAUACGGAUGCCCCCCAAUAUGCCUCAUCUUGGUCUCUUCCAAGGUCAAUAGGAGAAUCAACAAGGAACAGAAGAAGAAGUGCAGAGUGACAGGACCCAAAACCAAAGGAGUGAAGGAGAGAGAAGCUUCGUUGAUGAUGAUCAGAAUACAGUAGUAUUGUUCAUUGGCAUUUCUUGCUAAAUGAGUUAUAUUUUAGUUAACAUUUCAUUUUAAGAAUUGAUAUUACCAAAUCCUACUAAUUCAAUGAAAUAACAUCGUUUGUAUAAGACGUCGUGAUAAUAUAUAAAAUGUCCCUCGCAUGUUGAAAGACGUGGUGUUAUGUACUGUUUCUAGUUAUAACAUCGUUCGUAUGUCCCUCGUAGUAUUGUUUAUUAGCAUUUCUUGCUAAUUGAGUUAUAUUUUAGUUAACAUUUCAUUUUAACAAUUGAUAUUACCAAAUCCUAUUGAUUCAAUGAAAUAACAUCUUUGUAUAAGACGUCGUGAUAAUAUAUAAAAUGUCCUUCGUAUGUUGAAAGACGUGGUGUUGUCUACUGUUUCUAAUUGCAAUUUGAAUUAAUAUUGACAAUUGAAAAGGGUAAUAUAGUUAAUAAUAUCGCGAUAACAUUUGAUAUUUACCAAACCAUAUUACACAAACAAUGAUGUAACAUCCUAUUUGUUUCCAAUUCUUAGCCCAACCAGAAUGCAUUUUUGGACUAUUGAGCUGUAAAUUUUUUGAAAAAUGAUAGUUUGCCAGGGUCUUUGACCCUGGCCAGACUAUCUCUCGAACAAGGGAGCCCACAACCAUUUUUUCAGGACAAAAAAAAUGCCCACCCUCUCAUAGUCUGGCUAGGGUCUGUGCAAAUGACUCUGGCAAACUAGCAUAGUCCAAAUUUUUUACCUCCUCUUUGUGUGAGUCCCAAUUGCAGGCAAAUAAACAAUCCAAAAAUGGAUUAUUGUGUACAAAGAAUAAGUGCUUAUUUGAUAAGGAUUUUGAUAAUUGAUUUUUUGACCGUUAGAGAUAAAGUGGAUCCUACCUGUGGGAGAAUAUUCAAAAACGACGGCAGGAAUGGUGAAAUAACGGUCAAAAAAUUGAUUUUAAUUGGCUUUUAAGCUGUACCAAACAAGCUCUUAGAAACAAAGACACGCUUAACGUAGCCUCACUAGUUAUAUUUGCAAUUUCUUGGAACAAAAAUUGGGGUCAAAAUACUAAGAGGUAAUAUAAUUAGAUAGAGAAAUAUAAUUUUUAAUUAAUUUCUGAUAGAUUACUACAAGAAUUCAAUAUUUAAGGGUUACUGAAAUUCAUACACCAUAUCCAUUUAAUGAAGUGUUCAUUUCUAAACCUAAUUAAACAAAGCCCUCUAGACAUGUUGGAUACAUGGUAACCGAACAAUAACGAUUAUUUAACUGACUUUCAUUUUAAAUACCUUCCACUAUCGGUCGGUCUACAAAUCAGUUUAAUCUUCCAAAAUCACCUUGCAAAAAUAAGUUUUUAUAUCCACAAACCAAGCCUUGCAACAAAGGAGAAAAAAAUGUGACUAUUAUAAGUGAGCCAAUAAAUAACGAGCAAAUUUCACUAACUCAAACUAGCGGCAAGUUAAAAAUGCAGUUACAAUGGAAAGUUCACGUUAAAGGCAUGCUUAGUACUAGACAGAACUAAAAAGUAAAAACGAAACAAAGAUUUUGUAGAUUAAUACCAGCCGGUUCUAUGUAAUACUGCAUGGCAAACAUUAGAAAUGUUUUAUCACCCCAAAUUGGUUCGAAGCUCAAUCAAAGUAGAAAUAUGGGUCGACUCCACCAUCAGAAUCGUAGUCGCUUCCACUAUAAUGAAGGUAAUCAUCGUAAUCAUAAUAAUUAUCGAGAGAAAACUCUGAAAUCUCAGAUGAGCGGUAGUAAUCUUCAUCAUAUUCAUCACAAUCAAAAAUUUCAGGAUCCCACUCGCAAUCUUCCAUGGAGUCAUCAGGACGCUUGAAGUCUUUGAUCUUUUGAGUAAUCCUUUUCCCCAACUCCCCACUUAGAUCAACAUUCAGACAUUUCCGGAUGUCAAGCAAUUCAAGAAGUGGACAACCGUCAAGAAUGGCUUGCAGGCCCUCAUUUGUCAUAUUAUUUCCCAAAAGUUGAAGGCGGUGCAAACCUGGCAUGCUUUUUGCAAUUGCUAGUGCAUCAGCAUCACAAAGGAGUUGUGGGUGUUUGUACCCCGACUCACUAAGUGUAAACGACCUCAACUUAGGGCAGGAACGACCAAUAGCUUCAAUACCUUC